GACCAAAAGAGCAGGUUCAGUUUGUUCUGCUGGAGAACGUCGUUCCAGCACCGCGUUCUCUCCAGACACCAGGAGACACAAACUUUAGAACUUUAACAAACAUCUUUAGGGUUUCUUCAGGGCCUCUUCAGGGUUUCUAAAAGAACUUCCUUACCGACAUAUUUGGCCCAGAAGUCAUUCUGGAAAAAAAACAGAAAAUCCGAGAUUUUAGAACAACUUCAGAAUGGAUCAAAAUGUUUUAGUCUAUCAGAAAGUGAACAGACCAGGGUUCUGGUUAGAACGUUAGUCUGUCUGUUCUACGUGUUGGAUUUAGUUUCAGGUCAGUCAAUAAAAUCCACCAAGAAAUGCUCCAAAACCUCAACAUUCAGUUGUGUGUUUCUAACCUACAGAAGAUCUGAGAGCGGGACUUAGUUAAACCUGGUUCUACUUAGACGUUAUUAAUGGGACUAAAAUCCUGAGAUCUGUUUGAUUGGUUCUUUGUGUCCUGCUGGGUUUGAUGUGAGGGUGGAGGAGGUUCCAAAAGUGUUCUGUUAGUGUGGUUUUACGUGUCCUGUUAGUGUGGUUCUAUGUCUUCUGGAAGGUUCCUAAAGUGUUCUGUUAGUGUGGUUCUACGUGUUCUUCCUUGUUUCUACCGUCUUCUCUCUGCUUUCAAAGAUCUCCCGGGCUUCCUCCCAGUCGCAGCGCUCCUCCACGCAUUCUCUCUCUAGGUUUCCUACUUUCAUCUCCUCCAAGAAGCUGUUGGCUCUCCUGGACCGGAUCAGAACCUGGCUGGCUGC